UUCUUGAUACCCAAGAAAAUUAAAACGUGGGUAUAGUCUUUUCAGUCUGGUCGUUUUUCCAUUCAUAAGAUAAAAAACCCCCCACACCAGCGGGUAGGCAAUGAGUCUUUUGAUUGGAAUCAAACAAGUUUUCUCUCUUUUCUUCCAUUCAUAACGACAACUCUGUACACUCUCAGAAUUUGAACAAGAACGGCUAAAGAGGCUUGAAAUGGGAAUCACAACUCUGCAACAAAAGCUCCAACCACUCUAGAUUUUCCAAGUACUUUCAGUCACCAGUUGCUUAUUUUGUAUCCAACUCUCCUACAUAAUAUGCUGGCGGUCAGAGCCAUACCAAGGACUUUAUGGCUAUCGAGAGAUUUUGAUAGUGAACUUGUUGCUCAAUAGGAUUGCAGCAACGAAAUUGGUUUUUAUGUAUGGGGAGAAAUCAGGUCUUUGAGGUAUGGAGGAAAAAGGAGGAGGAAGAAGCAGGAUAUGUUCAACUAGGCAAGUCAACUAAUUAAGUGCAGAUCAUGGGAUUCAUAAAAUAAAGACUUGAAAAAUAAUUGUCGAGAAUCUGAUAUCAUUAAACUACUUCUCGACUUUUGAAGAUGGGUAAGAAGUUAUAGAGUUGAAACAAAAGAUGGUGAAAAGUUAUAAAGUUUUGUUAGGUAGUAAAAGACAAACAAAAGAUCGAAAUCGCAUGAGUGUUACAAGGAUGCACAAUCAUCACAUCACCAAAAAAAAAAAAAAAAAAAUGUUCGUAGUGAAAGCAGCAGCCCGCAGCUUAGCGUGGGCACUAGCACUUGUUAACUAGCUAGGACUUGUAAUGGUUUAUAAAACCAACUUUAUUGAUUUAGUAUUUUAGUCAAUGGAUUGGACACGUCAAUAUAUGUAAA